UCCGCCCCUCCCCCACCCUCAAAAUGAGGGGGGGGAGGGGCUCAGAGGCAGCGCUGGUGGGGGAGGGGCCCCAGAACUGGGAGGGAACUGGGAUGGACUGGUUUGAACUGGUUUGAAAUGGGACAAACUGGGAUUGAACUGGGAGGAACUGGGAGGGGAUUGGGACAAAUUCGGACAAACUGGGAUUGAACUGGUUUGAACUGGGAGAGAUUUGGAUUGAACUGGGAUGGACUGGGAUGAACUGGGAGGGAACUGGGAUUGAACUGGGACAAACUGGGAUAAACUGGGAGGGACUGGGAGGGGAUUGGGACAAACUGGGAGGGGCUGGGAAGGAUUGGGAUGGACUGGGAUUGAACUGGUUUGAACUGGGACAUGCUGGGAUUGAACUGGUUUGAACUGGGAGGGACUGGGCUGGACUGGGAGGGACCGGGAUUGAACUGGGCUGAGAUAAUGGACACUGGGAUAGACUGGGAUUGAACUGGGAUGGACUGGUUUGAACUGGGAUGGGAGACAAUAGGAUACUGGUUUGAACUGGUUUGAACUGGGAUUGAACUGGGCCAGGAUAAUGGGCUGAGCUGGGAUUGAACUGGGUGGGGACUGGGAAAGGACAAUGGGAUGAACUGGGAUGGACUGGGGUUGAACUGGGACAAACUGGGAUGGACUGAAGGCACUGGGAGGGACCGGUUUGAACUGGUUUGAACUGGUUUGAACUGGGAGCUCUGGGGGCUCAAGGCCACACCGAGGUUUUUUCAAAAAACCUCAAAAAACGGCCCCAAAACAGCAGGGGAGGGGGCGGGGCCAGAGAGCCUGGGGGCGGGGCUGAGCACCAGGGGGCGGGGCCGGAGCACCAGGGGGCGGGGUUAUAGAGCCUGGGGGCGGGGCCAUAUGACCCAGGGGAGGGGCCAGAGUGCCUGGCACAGGUGGGGGAGGGGCACAGGUGGGACACAGGUGUGCCAGGUGUGCCCAGGUGUCCCCAGGUGUCCCAGGUGUCCCCAGGUGUCACUCGCGGAUGCUGGCCGAGUAGGAGAACUGUGGGAAAUGCGUCUGAUGGUCGCAGUCCGGGGAGUCCAGGAGCUCACCUGGGGACAGG
rnacentral:lncRNA from 1 species